rnacentral:rRNA from 1 species
UACAGAGGUCCCAAGCGUUGUUCGGAUUCACUGGGCGUAAAGGGUGCGUAGGCGGUCGAGUAAGUCUGAUGUGAAAUCUCACAGCUUAACUGUGAAACUGCAUUGGAUACUAUCCGGCUCGAGGAAUGGAGGGGAGACUGGAGUACUUGGUGUAGCAGUGAAAUGCGUAGAUAUCAAGUGGAACAGCCAGUGGCGAAGGCGAGUCUCUGGACAUUUCCUGACGCUGAGGCACGAAAAGCCAGGGGAGCAAACGGG